rnacentral:lncRNA from 1 species
CAGACGCUGGCUUCACCACACCAAGGAAAAAGACCAUGGAUUUUACAACUCACAAAGCUGCUAUGCACAGACAACACUCCAGGAAAAUAAUCUGGGAGAUGUUUGGUGGGGAUUUGGGGCUGCACCAUCUGGUUGCCCCGAUGUACCUCAUUGCCCCAAAGCCUAGGGACCACGUGAGCAAAAAACUUCCGCGAACACUGUACACUAAAAAUCAUAACCAACAACCAGAGCUCAUUUUGGAGGGGCUACAACACAUAUGCUACAAAGUGCA